CCAUAGCCCCGAUAGCAGUGGAAAUCCUUUUAUUUUUUUCUUUAAAAAAAUAAAAGAUUACUUCACUUAAUUCUCAUUUUAAUCGGAGUUCAGUGAACUUCGUUUGGAACGGAUAGCGGGAAAUAGC
rnacentral:sRNA from 1 species